AGCCACAGGCGCGACGGGUAGCCGGCCUGAGAGGUGACCGGCCACACUGGGAUGAGACACGGCCCAGACUCCUACGGGAGGCAGCAGUGGGGAAUCUUGCGCAAUGGGCGAAAGCCUGACGCAGCGACGCCGCGUGAGGGAUGAAGGCCUUCGGGUUGUAAACCUCUUUCAGGAGGGACGAAGCGAGAGGGACCCUACCUGCAAAACAAGGGCCGGCUACCUACGGGCCGCCACCCGCGGACU
rnacentral:rRNA from 1 species